AGUUUUAUAGUUAAAUUGAUAACAGUAGAUUGCAAAUUUAAAAUUAUGAGGUUUCAUUAAAAUUU
rnacentral:tRNA from 1 species